GUACCACUGUAAUCACACGUUAUAAAGAUACCAUGAGUUUGUUCUCUGAGCCAAAGGGAUAUUUAACCUAUUGGCGCUGUUGUAGGGCUUCUGUUUCUUUGAAGAAUGGGGAGUAUGUAGUGUUCAUCUAAACUUGAAGAAAAAAAUAAUGCUAAUUGAAAUUGGAAAUUUGUUAAAAUAGCAAAUGAUUGCAAAAUGGCAUGAGUUCACAUAUGUAAACCUCCUUAAAUUCAAUGGGACCUCCCCUCUAGUAAGUACAUUUAGGGAUUGCAGCCUUGGAACUGCAGGCUGUGACAGUUGUGUUAAUAGCAAACACCCAAAGGCUGGAUGCAUUUUGGAUUAAUUACAUCAAGUUAUGAGAACAUAAUGUAUGAUGUAGGGAAAGUAUCUCAAAAUGAACGUUUUCUCUCUUUUCAUAAGAUAAAGCAUAUAUAUUCAACCAUAUAAUUAGUCAAUUAAUGUUUGUAAAAGCUUUCCAGUCUUAGAAGACAUCUUACUUGGGGGAAAAAAUAGUAGGAUUUUUAAUUUUUUUAAUUUUUUGUGAUGGUGGAUUUCCAACAAAGGACUGGCAUAUCUGGCUGCAGAACUCCUACAGUUACUAGUCAACUGGGAUAUACGGUAAUCCUGUCAAUGCAAAGAAGGACGUUGCAAACUACAUUUGCAGCCAAAAGCACACUGGGAGCUCAAAGCUAAGCUCAGAACAGCCUGCAGUCAUGUUGUGCUGGGCUAGAAUUUAGUUGUCUUCUGAUACUACCUUCUGUGGAUUGGACUAUGUGAAGCAGAGCCUUCCCUAUGCAGCCCCAAUGCUUUGGAUUAACCUCUGACAAGAAACAGUCCUGCAGCCAUUUCAAAGCAAGUUAAGACCUUUCUCUCCGCCCCCCCUUUCCCCCUUUUACCAUGGAGUCACUGGUCUCCCCCCCCCCUCUGCCGCUUCUACAUGCAGUUACUGGUGUAUACAUGUGCUUAUGUCAUCUUAAAUGCUGUCAGAGGUUAGUCAGUGCUUUGUGAUUUCUUUGAAAGGUGGGGUGAAUUUUUAAAAAAAUUCUUCUAAAUGUAAAAUACAUGAAUAAACCAGUCACUUUCAGAAGUUGCACGAACCU